UUUUGUUUUUAGGUUAUUUUAAAUUUGCGCAUUUAGUUUUCAUUCUCCCCCAUGCACAAAUUUAGGGGGAGAAAUAAACAAAAACCAAAACAAAAAAUUUAAAAAAAUCAAAAAUUAAAAUAUAUAUAUAUAUAUAUAUAUAUAGUUUUAUUUUUUUCAGAAAAUUUGAAAAAUCCAAAAAUACUGUGUGUUUUCCUUGCUUUGUAGAUGUUGUGUUGGGAAGUGAUAUAAACUUGGUGAUAACAAGUAAUUUGAAUUUGUGUAAGGUAUCAAAGUUGAGUUAUCUAGGCUCUGUGUUCGAUGCGCUGGUAGGCAUGAAAGUUAUAAUUUGGACUUGACUAAGCAUAGAUGAACUUAAGGAAUCAAAUGACUUGACAAAUCUUGACCUAGACUGAUCCAUUUAGCAUGGCAAUAUGACACUCGGAUAGGUUGAGCAGGGAGAUAUACAUGGGAAUAUACAAAUUAAAUUAAAUAAUUUGUAUUUAGAAUCGUGGCUUAACUUUUCCUCGAUGUAUGGACUUUUUCCCUAAUUCCGAUGUAGACGGGACGACCGGGAAAUUCCGAUAAGAUAGGUCUGAAAGAGAUUAUUUUCUUGCUUUCUUUAUGUUAGUCAUAUGUUGCCUCCUCUGCGUGAUCGGAAGAUCCGACUGGGACUACAACAUAUGCAACUCUGUCUCUCUACAUAUCCUUCUAUGCCAUUCUUUCUACCUGUUAUCCAUAUGAUGUCUCCUCUACGUGACUGAUAAUCUGACCUGGUACACAGCAUAUGCACCAUUCUACUUCUCAAUCCCUCUAAAUCUGGUUAGACAUAUGUUUCACCCUCUGCGUAAUCGGAAGACGACCUGGGUGUACAACAUAUGCACUCUAAAUAUGUCUUCUCCCAUAAUAAUUGUCUGCUCACCUAAAGUAAGGAGUGUCUUGGAAGUUCUUGAUUGUUGGGGGUAUAUCAGGAAGUGGAAAACAUGUUCUAGUACAUCUAAAAUCAAUCAAUUAAUAGGUUGUCUGUAGAUCUCACUGCUUAAUUUAAGUGGACAACAAUAUCCUUGGUUGUCGUCAGAUGAAUGGUCAUUAGGAAUUUGGUUAGAAUAGCAAAGUCACAAUGUCAUGUCACUUGCAGUAUAUCCUAAUCUUGUCAUAAAUUUUCGUGUUUAAGUGGACCACAAUACCGGCAAUCGACCAGAUCUAUUCAUGAAUAGAAGAUACUAAUAAACGGAUUCAGGCUGUCUAAGAACUUUAACCCCAAACUCAAUAUACUAUUAGCUUUGGUGAAAGAAAAUUAGUGUUAAUUCAUUGUUAUUUUAUUUUUUAUUUUUAUUUUGCUAAAAAUUAAAAAAAAAUUAAAUUUAAAUUUAAAUUAAAAAUUUUAAUUAGUUUUUAUUUUAGUUUAACAUUUUUUGAUUUUAUUUUAUUUUUAAAAUCCUCAAAAUGUAUUUUUAAAAUUUUUUGUGGUAUUGGACUUGGAAUUGAAGUUGUGCAGCCCAUGAGUUUUUGGACCGGGUCAAGGACCAGGUAUAAAUACUCCAGUCACCAGUUGUAAACUCUUUCUGCUUCAUUUUGAAUUUACGGCUGUAAACCUCGCUUUCUCUCUCAAUUCACUGUUCAUCGACACACCAAAAUUAGUGCUUAAUCUCAAAAUUAACAGUUCGAACGUGUAGGUAUGUGCAUUCCGAUCAUCACAAAGGUGUUCUAACAAAAAACCGACGUUGGAUCAAAGCUCUAAUCGGAAAAUGGUACUAUCGGCGUUUACGGCCAAUGAAAGGCUUACGGUCGUAAACCCGUUUACGGCCGUAAACCCUCUUCCAGCCGAAAACUCAUUUUUUUUUUUAAAUUAAAGCCAAAAUUGCAUCUUUUUGCACAAAGCAUAUGUAUUAUUGUUCAAAUACUUGGUUUUCUCACUUGACUCAGUUCAUGCAGGUCAAAAUGGCAGAACUCAAAUUUGCAGAAAGUCACAAUCUGGCAAUUCUAUUGGUUGAUCCUCCUGUUGCUCAUAGUGAAUUCAAGUCCACGAUUCAUGGCUUGAAGGAGUGCUGCUUGGCUACAGCUUUAACCCCGAAUCCAGAAAUUUAUCAAAGUCUAAUCAAAGAAUUCUGGAAAUCUACAACAGUAAAGAAAGGGAAUGAUGGCUCUGUAUUCAUUGAAGCUCACAUUAAAGGAUGCAAGAUCACUGCUACAUAGCAAAUAAUCAAAGAUGUCCCAAAGAUUGACGAACAAUCAAGCUUUCCAACAUAGAUUGAAUUGGAUCUAGCUCAAGAGCUCCUAAGCAAAAUGGGUUAUGAGGGCGAAUUUCCUCCUACCUUAAAGAAGUUGUUACCACCUUAUUGGAGGUUUCUAGCUCAUGUUUGUGUGAGCUGCAUUUCAGGAAGAAGAUAUGGUGCAGAUGUCAUUAAGAAACACAGGAGCUAUUGCUGCUCUUGCUGCUGGACUUAACUUUAACUUCUCAAAGUUUAUUCUGGAUGAGCUUGUUGUGAACAGAAAAGGAAAGACAAGAGACAAGUUUUUGAUGUAUCCAAGGUUUCUCAAAACAAUUAUCAACGAGCAGUUUCCAGAGAUCACUAAAGAAGGUUAAACCUUGGACUUGAAGUCACUUGGACCAAAUACCAUUGGGUUGAUCAAGCAAACCAUAAGGGUAAAGUUACUUUUCAAGGAAAAUGCCCUCUGGAGAAAUUUGGCAUGUUUGCAGAGUCUAGUGAAGCUUCUGGGUCCUAUGAGUCGUCUGAUCGUAUAACAGUAGACGAUGAUGUGAUAACUGUGUCAGACCAUGAAGAGAAUAGAGUUCCUUCGGUCGCAAUCGUGGCUGAGGAACAUGAUUUGAUGUCUGUGCAUGUUCAGAGUGACUACAACAAAAGUGAAGAUGUUGAUAAUGAUGAUGCUGAUGAAGAAGAUCUUGAAGAUGAUAAUUCUAUUUUUGGCGGAAAUUUGUCUGAACAUGAUAAUAUAGAGCUUGAUCUGGAUUUUGUGAACAACUACUGCCCAUCAAACAAGGACUUGGACUCGUUAUUUAAUGAAUUCAAUGAUGUUGUGCAACAUACAACGGAGAAAGGGAUAGAUGAUUUUCAAGAAACAACGCCUCCGCUUGUUGAUCAAACUGCCGACACUUCCAACCCUAUGGAUUCAACUUCAAGGCUUCCUCCCCUGAACGUUAAAAUUCCUACAUUUGUGGCGUCUGUGAGUGAUCUGAUUGAGACACAUACCUCUGUGCCUUCAUUGAAAAGAAGAAGACUAGAUCCAAGGCCAGGGGGUACUAAUUCAGGAAUUGACCCAAACUGUUCAGACCGUACUUACCACAUCAACCACGAAUCCAACCACUAAAACCACUUCUGAUCAUGAACAUCCAAGAACCACUUUUGAAGUUGGGAGCUCUUCAGCUCCUAGAGAUGUCUCCCUACAAGGCAUGUGCAUGAUAUUUCCUCUGAAAUGCUUGCCAGGUUCUUGGCCGAAAAUGAAACGAAUCUUCCCUCUUGUGAAAAAGGUAUAUCUAUAGGGGAAGGAGGCUUGAAGGGGAUGGACACAUCAAGACCAGAGUUCAAGGAGGAGAUUACGAUGCUAAAACAGAAAAUAAUAGAAAAGGAUCUUCAAAUUGAGAAUCUUGAUUCUCGUAUCUCUGUGUUCAAAGCUGAAAGUUCCUUAAAGUCUGAUCAAAUUUCUAAACUUCAAGAAGAUAAUGCUCAGAAGGCCAAACAAAUUUCUGAUCUCCAGCUCAACCUUGGUGCUAUUUCAGCUGACUACUUUGAUCUGAAGAGUAGACUUAUUGCUGAAUUUGGAUAUAAGUUUCAGACAGUAGCUGAAGGCCCAAGUGUUUCUUAGGCUCCUGUAACUGCCCCAGUUGCUACUCCAAGGUGUAUCUUACUGAAUUGUCUACUGCUCCGUUUUACAAUCCCUCCAAUGAUCCUCGGGCAACAGCUUUCAAACUUUUCUAGGAAAAUCAAGUGAGGAAAGGAUUUGAUAAUAUGAAGACUGUUGAAUCCUUUUUGAAGACUGCUAAACAUGUGUUCGACCCAAUCACCAAAAAGGCCAUCAAAAAUGUCAUGUGGCCUCCAACAAAGCAGUUGAAAAAGAUUCCCAUCAUCAAGAAUUUUUGUGAUGGUUCUUUAGACAAUAUGUUGUAUUGGGUGUAUGAUGAAGCCACGGCCUCAGAGAUUAUCAAGUUUAAAGAUGGUGUCUUUCGUCUUAUCGAUAAGAGGGAUCUUCUACAAUUUGGUGAGAGGGACAUUCACACUUUGGCAGCUCAUCAAAUCAUUUGUGACAAGGAAGUUUUGGAACCGGCAGCAAAAGAAUUCACGGGCAUGAUCUCUAAAAUUAUUAGCAAAGGAAUGUGGUUGGGCGCAAUGGGAAGAUCUGACGUGCUGGUCAUUGAAAAGAUCUGAGCUUAUGCUAGCCUCAAACCAAGGGGAGAUUGAUAGGUCAAUAUUUUGUGGUUUGGUCUAGGCAAUCAUAUGUAUAAGUGUUGUUAAGUUCUUGGUCAAGUUUUUUAUGUUUUGUUAGAGUUUAUGGUUUAUGUAUGUGUGUACGGCCGUAAACAGGUUUACGGCCGUAAACCUAUUUACGACCAACAACCCCCCUAUAUAUAGGUUGUGUCAGAGUUGUGUCAGGGUUGUUGGCGAAUCUCAGAGUAUCUCCUUAGUUUACGCCCCAAGGUGUAUUUAAUGUUUAUUUGAUAUAAAACGUGUGCAUGCUUGGAUUAAUCUAUCUUCUACUCCAUUCCCUAUUUGUUCGAUUGAUAUAUGUUUGAUCACUGAUCGAAUUCUCAGUUUUAGGGACCUUACAGAAUGAUAUCUCGUCCUCCUCAAGUACUCAUCUGUAGCAUACUGUGGGAUCAACAAAGCUCGUUCCAGAAAAUUGGCGGUGAUCUCCGCCACAGUCUCGAUGGUCUGCUGAAGGUCGUGAAACUCCCUCACCAGCCGUUGCACCUUAAUAGGUGGUGCAAACUCUGCUUCGAAUCGCUGAAAAAACUAAUCCCACAUCAUCUCAGCCACACCAGCCGCUCCCACCUGGCUGGUCACCUCUUCCCACCAAUCUCGGGCUCUGUCUCUCAGCAUACAUGAUGUAAAACCCACCUUGGCCGCAUCCGGGAGAGAACUCGUGCACUGGGCGUUUUUGAUAUCCGCCACCCAGCAUUGGCUAACAAUGGGGUCCCUGAUCCUGAGAAACUCUAGUGCCCCGCAUGCCUUGAACUCCUGGAACGAGGGAGUUCAAGUCCCAACCUGACCCGCAACAACCUCAGCCCUGAAUGCCCUGAGUCUCUCCUCCAUAAUCUCCAUUAUGCCCUCCUUGACCAUCUAGAAAAUGAUCAGGGUCAUGUCAAGGAUGCCCCUAUUAACCUCGGCUGCAAUAAGCUCGAGUAGCCUCUCAUCGAUGACAUCAGCAGUGUCGCCCGAACCUGCCCCGGACCUAGACCCCGAUCCCGACCCUCCUGCUCCAAAUCGUGUCACCACCAUGCUGGACUGAAAUAUCAUAAAUUACAAUGAUCAGGAUUUUCAUAUAAGGGAACUUCCUACACCGGUCCUCCUUGAAAUCGUCAGAUCUAACAUUGGUCCGGGUACAGGUCCUGUGUUUUCAGUAGUACAGACCCAAUACUACCUUCCACACCUACCUGUACCUUUCCCCAAUGCCCACCUGACAACCCCAAUUUGUCCCAAAACUAAACCAUAUUCCACAAACUACCGCAUACAUCAAAUCUCAAGUUGUCCUAAGAUUUAUUCUACCCACAUCAAUCAAACCAAUCAUGACAGGUUGCCAUUAUGCAUGCAAAUUGUACACAGAAAAGGGAUCAAAUAGACUUUUGAAUAAAAGAUUCUACCGUAGGACCACAACCAAACAAGGAACAGGAAAUAAGGCCAAUCGAACAUUCUGAGGCUAUAAGCUCCUAACCGUAUAAAAUUUAAAAGCAUACACAUAGCAAGUUCCAUAUAAUCAACAAAGCUCAAGUAUUAGUAUAACAUGGCUAACAUAUUGGGGAACUACUUACUUGGAUCGGCUGAUCACGCGCGUUGCACUCUCAUCUUUUCAUUUUCUUUUGAAAACCCUUUUUAAGUUACUUUUUGAAAACAAUUUUACCACUUCCUUAGUUUAAGUCCUGACACACUCGAGAGUGUGACCGAAUCCCUCAAACUAAGGCUCUGAUACCAACUUGUAACAACCCAAAUUUUACAAAGAAUCAUUUUUAANUUUUAAUUAGUCAAACACAUUUGCAUAACCAUGAAAUCCAAACACAAUUGUUUUCAAAACCACGUUCAAUACAAUAUUAUUCAAAAACAUCAGAGUGUCCCCAAAAUGUAUCAAUAGAAGAGAGAUAGAGUGCAUGCUGCGCCAUCACGCCUUGCCAUUGCCCUUGGGCAUAUAUGUACCUGAAAUAAAUCAACAACUUGUAAGCGAAAUGCUUAGUGAGUUCCCCAGAGCAUACCACACGCUACACAUACACAUAUCCUGUUAGCUAAAUAAGCUACACACAUAUCACAUAAGCCAUGCAUACAACAGAUAAGGAUCUCGUGGGCUCGUCCCCAAGGUCUUACUCCAGGAUGCCAUGGGCUCCCCACAUGGUCUUACACCUAAGUGCCAUGGGCUCUCCCAUUGUCUUUGAUAGGAAAGCCAUGGGCUCUCCUCAUGGUCUUACAUCCAAGUGUCAUGGGCUCUCCCAUGGUCUUCCAUUCAAAACACACAAUCACACAACAUAUCAAACUCAUAAUAACUAACACAUAUAUCAUGAUCACAUAAUGGGCCGACCUUUGUGCCUUAGACCCAUUGGUAUGGUGAGGAGACUCACCUCUGUCUGCUGAAUACAAAAGCUGCUCUCCUAACAGUUUGAAACCUCCCGAGCUGAAUAAUAACAUUAAUCACUGUUAGGACCAUAGAUUAGUCAAAGGAAAACCCAAACUCCAAACCCAUCCAUGAGGCCCAAUUAUCCUUCCCUUGUUAAUGGGCCCAAAAUCCAAGUCCAAAAUUACUAAUGGGUCUCUUGGCCCAAUAAGGCCCAACCAACAUAUCCAUGGCCCAUAAUAGAUAAAAUAGCCCACAAUUCACAGAAUACACCAUGCCUAAUAAUCCAAUGAGGCCCAAAUAGCUCAAAGGCCCAAAACAGAUUCGGUCCAUCUGCACCGCGUACGCUCGGCAUACCAUCCUGGUACGCACAACGUACUGGGAUUUGGGACUAUGCACGGCGUACACUGGGUUACGCCCAGUGUACAACCAGUUUGAGCACUUUCUCCAUUAAGUGCUUAAUACUCGUUUCCGUUACGUCCAAAAGCCAUAUCUAAGUUUAAUAAGACGUUGUAAGGCAUAAAGUUGGCAACUUUAUGCCUUUGCAUGUCUUAUAUACACCCAACACCUCCAUUAAGACCUUUCCAAGGUCUUUAACCCAUACAUGGGGGCAAAACUCCCAUCAAGACUUAAUUUUUAUGGAUCUAAAGGACCAAGGGACCUCAUAUCUGUCUUUCCCGUCUUCUGGAGUUGCUUAACUCACAAUAGUUGUCCAAAAUCAACCAAAAAGGGACAAUGUAGAAAACCAUAGCUAAAUCUAGAGAUUUAAGGUGAAAGGUCUAAGCUUUUUACCUCCAAAAGCUUUGCAAGAUGACCAUGAUGCAGGAUCUUCAAGCACCAACUCAUUCCAAGCAUGUUUAACCACCUAUUCUUCUUGGAAUGAACACUAAAAGAGUCACAAAGGCACUUUUCAAAGCUCAAAAUGGUCACAAGUUUCUAUGGAGUGAAAGGACGUUCUAAGGCAGUGUAGGCUCUCUAGGGUUAAGUCCAAGGGACUUAAGGUCACUUAAAUAGGUCUCAUGUCCGAAAAUUAGGGUUUUGGACCCCUGACACGUACGCCUAACGUAUGGCUUGGUACGCCCAACAUACCCCUAGUUCCUCCACGACCAUUCAUGCAUCGUACGCUAAGCGUACACCUAAGUACGCCCAGCGUACUUAAAGGCCAAUAUGAUAAAAUGAAAUUCUUGAGGGUUUCAAGACAUACCAGAUUUAGGGUGUUACAGAAGCUCUUGGUCCAAAGGUCGAGUAGAUGGUUGUGGAUGAAGUUCAAAGUUUUUUGAAUAUCAAUCAAUUGUUAGUUGAGUUGAAAGGUUUGGUGCUCAAUCUUCGUUAAUAACUCUAGAGCUUCUUACACAAAAGUUUUCUUUGCUCGAGUCUACUAUUCAAAAGGAGUUAGCCCCUUUGUCGAAAUUGUUGACUAUUUUGCCAAGGGAUGCCCCACCUGUUUCAACAGAGGUGCAAGGGGGAGAGAGGAUUGGUGUUGGAAAGGGUUCUUUGUUCGGAACCGGUGGUAGUUCUUCGAAGAUAAAUGAUGAAGAUGCGAUAGUAGUGGGAAAAGUUUCUUCAACUCAAAUUCCUAUUUCUUUAAUAUCUGCUUCAACAAUUUCGACUUCCACAACAACAACUACAAGGCCUAUAACAAAAGGAAUUGUUAUUGGUGGUUUAGUUUCUGGGGGAUCAAGUUCGAAACCACCACCUACCACAAAAGAAUUACAUAAUAAAGGGAAGGGUGUCAUGCACGAACCUUCAGCUGAGGAGAAGAAAGUUGCCAUUGAACUAGAAAUGGAGAAGCAAAGGCAAAUUCAAAGCAUACUUCGAAUCAGAAAAAGUGAUCCUCCUAGGAUGAACAAAGGUGAUCCUGCUAAGUAUUUUAACUAUGAAUACAUCGAAGCCACGGUUCUAUCUAGUGAGAUGCAUACGUUUAACAAGAUUCCUAAAAAGAGUAAUGAUAUUAGUAACUGUUGGAUUAGUGUCUAAGUCCAUAACUAUUUUGGUAUGUACUUGACCCGAUGGUGCAUGGUCCUUUUGGGUUGCCUUCACCAAAGCAACUUGAUUGGAGAAAUAAAUAGAAAGAGAGGAUAAUAUGAUUUAUUAAUAUGUUAUAAGAAUAAUAUAUUAAAGGAGAAAUCAUAUUUGUUUAAUUAAUAUUGGUCAAUAAUUAAUUGAGAAUUAAUUUUGUGAUCAAGUGUAAUUAAUUAAACUUGAGGGGCUGAAUUGUAAUUAUGUGAUAGUUACAAAAUAAGGUAAGGAUUAUCUUAUAAGUAUGGUGAACGAAUUUAAGGUUGGAAAGCCUUAGAAUUCGAGUAUGAUAAGGAUUCAAGGAUUAUCUUAUUGGUUGCUUAAUGGAUAAUCAACUAGAUAAGGAUAAUGACUGAAACCCUAUCUCUACACCUAUAUAAACACCCCUAGGGUUAUGAAUUCGUGUAUCCCUUCCCAAGAAGCCCUACAUACGAAUUCUAACCUCUCUCCUCUUUCUUUAUACCUUCUCCACUUGCUUAUGGUGUUUGUAAGCCAUUAGAGGAGUGACACUUGUGACUCUUUGCUUUCCAAGGUCAAUUCAAGGAGGAAUUGGAUUGUUAUUGCUAUAUAACAAUCAAGGUAUGUUCUUAAACCUAUUUACAUGUGAAUUCUGAUUUCCAUAUGCUAGAAUUAGGGUUCAAAGUCUUGGAUUCAAAGUAUGUACAAUAGAGAAACCUAGAUCCGAGCUUUAGGGUUUGUAUGAGCACAUAGGAUGUCUUAUGACCAAAACCCAUCAGUGGUAUCAGAGCCAUGAUUGGUUUCUAUUGUAUUGAUGCUUGAUGUAACUGAAAAUCGUGUUUUGGCCUCACUGUUCGACCUGACUCGGCGAGUCACUCUUGGACUCGGCGAGUCAGCCCUACUCGGCGAGUUCCAGAGGGUGACUCGGCGAGUCGGUGCGUCAGACAGUGCUUAUCUCGGGAUUUCUUGCUGUUUUUGCAUUGGGAUAAUUACCUUAUCAUGUUAGAUUAAUAUUAAUCCGAUUAUAUGAUAUAUUUGACUAUAAUUUUAAUCUAAUUGAAGAUAUUUAUCAAUUAAUAGGAUAAUUGUUUCCUUAUAAGAUAAUUGAUUAAUUAUUUUAAGUAAAUUGAUAAAUUAUUUUGCAAGAAAUCAUCAAAUAUGGAUAAUUAUGUGAUUAAAUGUUAAUUUGAAUUAUUUGUUAUUUGAUCCUUGUUGUUGUGAAAAGUUUCAUAUUUGGCCCUUUAGGUUUUAUAGUUUAAAUUUGAACCCCAAAAGUUUUGUUGUUUUGAAAUUUAAAUAGUUGAAACCCUAAUGUUUUGAAAAAGGUUUCAAAACUUGCCCUCAAGUUUUGGAAUUUAAAUUUUGAUUAAAUAGUUUAAUUUUGAUGCAUAUUUAAAUUCUAAACCCUAAUGUGUUGAAAUGUUUCAAAACUUGCCCUCAAGUUUUGGAAUUUAAAAGUUGAUUAAAAGUUUAAUUAGGAAUGUUAAAUUCUAAAACUCUAGUAUAGUUUUGAAAAAGUUCAAAUCACACCCUUAUGGUUUUAUUAAUUAAUUAAGGUGUAUAAUUAAAAGAGGUUUAAUAAAUCCAUAAAAGUUUAGGUUUACAAUUUAAUUGAAUUAAAAGUAUAAUUGUUAAAUUAGACCACCUAGUAUUUUAAAAGUAUAAAAUACACCCUAUACUAUAUAUAACAUUAAAAGUCUAACAUUAUAUAUAUGUAUGAGUAAAAGUCAGUCUUACCGUUAGUAGGCCUCAUUCACGAAGCUGGUCUAUAAGGGGUGUUUAAGGAAAUUGCCUAUAAAAUGGCGAUUGAAUGGGUAUCCACUCUUACCCACCGCACUCUUGACUAGUGGAGGGUCGUUAGCCGAACGGGUAGGAUAGGACGAAACCUUCCAUUAUAAGUAUAAUGAAUUAUUAAAGUAACUAAAUGUUUUCAUAAAAUUCCCAAUCUUAGUUACUUAGGCAAAAGUGAAUUGAUGCAAUUCCAUGAAAUUACACUUUGUGCCCUUGCGAAGACGUUAGUGGAGCGUGUGUGGUUAACCGGCACACUAAAUGGGUCUAAGCAAAGGUAGCAAAGGGUGACUCAAUGUUUGUCAUAGUUCGGUGGAGCGUGUGUGGUUUACCGGCACAUCGAAUAGGUGACUGUAACAUGUGAGGGCACCAUGUAAGUUUGCAUGGUUAUUCACACCCGCUUUGUGAUCCUCGGCAUCCCAGUCACAAACAAGAGGGGCAUAUCGAGAUUUAAACAUGCCAUUGAAAGUUCAAUGAAUCUCAAAGGAUCUAGGAGUUUUCAUAGAUUUAAAACUUAAAUUUCUUUUUCGUUUUUCAUGGUGGAAAUUAGUGAAUCGUCAUUCACUUACCUUCAAAUAUUCUGCAAUUAGGGUUACGGCAUCCCUCUCCCGAGUUGUAGAAUAUUGUGUUGGGUCCUAGCCUUAGUAUCUCAUUUGGGUGAUUUACUAAGGACUCAAUCAAUCAACUAACUUGAAUUCGUUUUCUCCCGUUUUGUAGAUGUCAAAGUUCGACAACUAUGGUCUUCCCAAAUCCCGUGGAACAAGCAUUCCACAUGAAGAUGAUAUUCCACGAUUCGAUCGAGGAACAAGAAAUCAUGCUUCACUUCCUCCUCCUCCUCCAAUUAUUCUCCCUAACCCACAAGUUCAAAGGCUUGAAAAGUUCAAGAUCACUCAAGCCCUUUUGGCAAGUAAACAUAAAGAAGGAAAGUCGGUGUGUGCACACGUCCUAGGGAUGAAGUCACACAUUGAUAGGUUAAGAAUGUUGGGAUCCGUUGUCUGUGAGGAAAUGGCUGUUGAUUGGGUUCUUCAGUCACUUCCUAACUCAUAUAGUGAGUUCGUAAGAGAGUACUAUAUGAUGAACCGCGACGUGACCCUUAUAGAUCUCACCUAUAUGCUUAUUGCUGCUGAAUCAGCAAUGGUUUGGCGCAAUAGAAAAGCAAAGUUGAUUGGUGAAUCUGCCUUCAAGACCUCUAUGGAUAUAGACAAUGGCAACGAAAGACAUGCUAUGAUCGAAAAGUUUGAUCAUAAGAGAAAGGCAAUGUCUGAAGUAGUUCCAUGUCAUGUUCCAAAAGAGUCAAUUUGCUUUUAUUGCCAAGAGAAAGGGCAUUGGAGACGAAGCUGCCCCAUUUACCUAAGAGAUCUAAGAGAUGGGAGAGUCGAAACGUAUGGCUCUAAUAUAGGUAAAAUCCAUUAACUAACUCUUUUAAGCUUCUAUUCUAGAUUCUUAAUACAUAAUGUGAUAAGAUUACAAUUGAUGUUUUGUAGGAUCGAAGAAAAGAAAGGAAGCUUAAGGGAAGAAGUGAGCAGAAUCUAACCGUGAAGGAAUGGAUUUCGAUCGCAUUUCUCGAAGAUUAGAUUCUUGAGCUACUACUUAGAGUUAGAAUUAGAUUGCUAAGAAAGAUGUAUUAGCAUAGUUUUUCAAUGAAUUGCAUUGUAAGGACAAAUUUUUUCCGCAAUAAAAUAAAUUUUGAUUUUAUAUUAUUUAUUUAUCCUUGCAAUGGCGUAUAUGAAAAAUUGAUGUUUGAAUGUUUCUAUUAUUAGCAAUAAUGGAUUUGGUUCUUAUUAUGUUAUUUAUGGAAAGUCGAGAGUUUACCAAAUAGGGAGAGUUUCUCAUCGCCCAAGUUUCAAUUGGACAGAAACUUGGAAUCAUGCAACUUGGUUGCACGAUGAAUGAGAAAUUUCAUAUUUGGAAAUUAGACUAAUUCAUUGACAAAGUGUCAAGUGAAGGACUAGGAGAUCGAGUACACAAAGUUGCGUGUUGAUCAAGUCCACCAUAAGAGUAACAAAGAUAUUCGUCAUGAUUUACUAAAGGUUUAGUAAAUAUGAUUAUACUUACAAGAUUAAGUGUAAUUCUGAAUUGAUUAAAGGGUUUAGAUCAAUAGCAGAACGAAUAAGAAGAAUCAAGUAGGCAGAAAGAUAAAAGUUUCUCCAUUCUAAGAAGAUGGGAGAGUACCUUUUAUGCUUUAUGAUAGAUCUUAAUGAUUAAGAACCAUAUCUCAAUUGAUCCUCUAAGAGAGUCUUAGUACAAUUGUAUGUCUAAGAAAAGGAAUCAAGAAUUGAAGAAAUGGUUAAAUCAAGAAGUCAAUCAUACUUCGUUCCAAAACAAGUCUUAGAGUUAAGAUUGUGACAUUGAGUGAAAAGUAUUAAGAAGGUUUAUAACAUUCAUCAAAUGUGGAAAGUUGUGAUGUCUUGGAUAAGACAAAGACCAACUAGGACCAAUUUAUGAAGUGUUUUGAUAAAAGCUACACUAACUCUUGAAUAUUUGUUUGUCAAGAAAUGGUUAUUGACAAAAGAAUCGUAUAUGUCAAGGAGUCAGUGGGAGUCUUAAUGGUCUUGAAUAGUUUCAAGAACAAAUCAAAUAAACCUUAUAAAUCAUCACUAGCACACGAAUUGAGGUUGACAACCUAUAGUAUUGACAUUAUUUUGAUUAUGUGUUGUUCUAAUUGAGUUAAUUAUGCAUAUGAGUUCUAUGAGUUCUCAUCUUGAAUGCAUAAAAGGCAAGGUACCUUAAUCAAUGAAAGGUACAUUGAUAAGAAAGGGUGAAAUGCUUAACUACUUGGAAGACGUGGUGGGCAGCUGUGCUACCAUGAGGCAAGAAAUCAAGAUUAAGAAAGAUCGAUCCAUAAGAGUUUGAAUUUAUCGUAAACCUUGGCUUUGACAAAUUCACAUGGAUAGGAACAUUUACACCGUUUAAAAUCUAAGUGUCAUAAGAUUUCCUCCUUCAUGAAAAUGAUUGUGAGGAAAUGCUUUCACUAAGAAAGAUUUUAAGAAGAUAGUGAUUGUAAAAUUGCAUUCUCGAAUUCAAUUAUGGUUACGGCAUCCCUUUCCAUAAUUUGAAUUGUGAGGUUUGGCAAUUAGUCUUAAUUGUUUAGACACACAUAUGAACUAUCGAAGGCAAAUGUGUAUAAGUUCAAGAAACCUUGAUAAAAGAUUAUCAAAGCACUAAGUAUUAGAAACAUGAACUUAAGAAAUUCAAUAAGCAUUUUUUUUCUGAAAGUUAAGAUGUUUAUGAAUACAUGUCGAAGCUAGUGGGAGCAUAAGUGUUAUGUUUUAUAAUAAUCAUCAAGAUAGUGGGAGCAUAAAAGUUAUGAUUGUAUGAUUAUUAAGGAAAGUAUUGCAAGGUUAGCAAUAUUAAUUAUAGAAAACAAGAGUCAUACUUUGCAAAGUCGCAAUAGUUGAAGAGUUGUUUUGCUAUAAUUAAGGGAGAGAAUAUUAUGCUUCAUUUCAAAUCUAAAGGUUUAGGUUGAGAAAUGUUAAUAAAAUUUAGUCAAAGGUACAAAGUGUGUUCUUAAAAUUUCAAUUAUGAUUACGGCAUCCCUCUUCACAAUUCGAAUCUUAAGAACAUAGCAAAUAAAACAUUAUGCGUCGUGUCCCAUACGCUUCGGGUAUAGGAUCGAUUGCAAAUGCUUUAAUGUUUGACCAUUCUAAAAUUUUCCAAAUGUCGAGCGCAUUUAGAGGGAAAAGGGACUAGAAUUGGUUUUGACUAAAAUAAUUAAACAACUAUCAAAGGACAAUCCAAAGUUCGACGAGGAUUGGUCGCUUGUGAGUAGUUGGAAGUAUAGUAUUGGAAAAUAUGGAAAUGUUUCCAUAUUGGAUGGACCAUAUCGACAUCAUUACGAAUAGAUAAGAUUCUAUUAAGAAUGAGUUGUCAUAUGGAACAUAUGGAAGUGUGUCCAUAUUGGGAAUUGAAUAUUGAGAAAUCUAUGACUAGAUUAGAAACUUCUAUGCAAAAGGAUGUUCAAAGAAUGUACUUUGAGUGAGAGACAUCACAUCUAUGGAAUUGUCUUGUAACAAUCUCCGAUAGAGGACUUUGUAAUAUCAUUGGCAAUAGUCUUUGUGACUUUGGUGCAGUGACAUUACGAAAGGAUCAUUGCAUAAAAUGUUAGAAUCUAGCAUAUUCUAUAAGUAGCAAGAAUUUGAUAUUCUUACACUUAUGAAAAAGGAUUUGGAGUUGUGAAAUGAGAAUGAUUGGAAAUGUGUUCAAUGUGAUCUAUUUCACAAAGUAAGAACCAUAGGUAAACAUUGUGUGCAUGCUAGGAGCAUGGGACAAGUGUUGUAAUUCAAGUAAGAAGUUGAUUACCCGAAACGACAAAUAAUGAGUAAUCAAUAUGGUGAUAAAUAAAAGGUGUUUUAUUUAUACUCAAAGGUUUGAGGCCAUAUGGGAUUAGUAUUAUUCUUGUGUUUCACAUUUGCAUGUUUUGACUUCCAGAAUAAUUGAGUUUAUUAAGAAUAAUCGAAUUAUUCAAACGGGCCACAGUCGUUCAUAUGUUGGAAGUAGAUAUGAAUGAAGACUGUCGUGAAUUGGUGUGUGGAUUGUCUAAAAGAGUAUUAGACAUAAGCAAAUGUUUGCUGCAACGUUCAUGAGUGCUUAUGAAUAUGAUUUGAGCAUUGGAUUAAACCCACGCUCACUUGGAUCACUCCAUGAAUUGUAUCACGAGUGAUUGGUGAGACGAUAACAUCUUAUAUUCUUGAAACCGAGAUGUGUGAGUUGUAUCUUGCAAAUCGGUUGCACAUUGAUAAUAUGUAAACGCACCAGUAACUUGGUGUUAUAAAACAUAUUGUUGUGUGUGAUUCGGUGCGUGAGUGCAAGCAAGCAUUGUAUCAAAGUUUAUCCGUUCCUUUUAUCCAAAGUAGGAUAAAAGCGAUAUCUUUGGGCCCCUCGAUGGUUUAGUGAUGACAAACGUAAAUGCUCGGCCGGGCUAGGGCUAAUUUGAUUUGUUCAAUUAGUCAGUCGUCAUAAAUCGGGAAUCGAGAUAUAGUACAAAGAGAAUGAUUUGAAAUCAUAUCUCAUAUGAUAUCUAGAAUGGAGGAAUAUAUGAUCCCUUAUCUAAGGACACGCGUAUUUGAUAUGAUCAGAGUUGACAGCGGCUUUGGAAAGCUACGAUUGCAGAUCGGGAUCCGAAGUCAUACGCAGAAUAGUUAUUAGACUUAUCCAAGUGGGAGACUGUUGGAUUAGUGUCUAAGUCCAUAACUAUUUUGGUAUGUACUUGACCCGAUGGUGCAUGGUCCUUUUGGGUUGCCUUCACCAAAGCAACUUGAUUGGAGAAAUAAAUAGAAAGAGAGGAUAAUAUGAUUUAUUAAUAUGUUAUAAGAAUAAUAUAUUAAAGGAGAAAUCAUAUUUGUUUAAUUAAUAUUGGUCGAUAAUUAAUUAAGAAUUAGUUUUGUGAUCAAAUGUAAUUAAUUAAACUUGAGGGGCUGAAUUGUAAUUAUGUGAUAGUUACAAAAUAAGGUAAGGAUUAUCUUAUAAGUAUGGUGAACGAAUUUAAGGUUGGAAAGCCUUAGAAUUCGAGUAUGAUAAGGAUUCAUGGAUUAUCUUAUUGGUUGCUUAAUGGAUAAUCAACUAGAUAAGGAUAAUGACUGAAACCCUAUCUCUACACCUAUAUAAACACCCCUAGGGUUAUGAAUUCGUGUAUCCCUUCCCAAGAAGCCCUACAUACGAAUUCUAACCUCUCUCCUCUUUCUUUAUACCUUCUCCACUUGCUUAUGGUGUUUGUAAGCCAUUAGAGGAGUGACACUUGUGACUCUUUGCUUUCCAAGGUCAAUUCAAGGAGGAAUUGGAUUGUUAUUGCUAUAUAACAAUCAAGGUAUGUUCUUAAACCUAUUUACAUGUGAAUUCUGAUUUCCAUAUGCUAGAAUUAGGGUUCAAGUCUUGGAUUCAAAGUAUGUACAAUAGAGAAACCUAGAUCCGAGCUUUAGGGUUUGUAUGAGCACAUAGGAUGUCUUAUGACCAAAACCCAUCAGUAACACUAAUAUCAAUCAAUUAGACUUUCCUAUAAAUCUAAUGAUGUUUCAUGAUGAGCAAUUCGAGCUUGCGAAUAAGUUCAAGGAUAAGGAGGAGUUCAGACGAUUGAAGUAUCGAUUCCAUGCGGUGUUGGGAAAGAAUGAAGAUGCAGCCUGGUCUUCAGUGAAAAUUGUUCGAAUUCGUAAUGUUACCAAGGAUGUGCUAUUCGAUGGAAUGUUAUAGAAUUACAGAUAUGUUGCAAUAAGAGCGAACAAUAUGGUGUUUUACUUCUCAGUUGCUGAUUUCCCGUUGAUAAACCUAUAUGAUCUUUUAAUUGUUGCGAAGAUCUUGAAUUCAAUUGAUUAUUCGAAGAUGCAACAAGUUAACAAGGAAGAUUUCAUGAUAGGUUUUGAACACUUGAGGGUAUUCAUUGAUGGUUUGUAUGGAGCCUUGGCCAUAACUGAUAUUGAUCUGGCUACAACAUUGGGAAAGAAAGUUUUUGUUCCCAAAUCGAUGAUCAAAAAUCAGUCUUUUCUUAAAGAUUACAAAGAUGAGGAGAUUUGCUUGAAACCCUUAGGGAUUGUAUUCGUGGGAAAGAAUAAGAAGGGUACAACAACAAAAUUUAUGUUUCAAGUAAACGAAACUGAAAGAUUCACUUCUUCGCAUUACACAAAUUUGCUGAUUCGAAUGAACAAUUGUGCGAAGAAUAGUGACCAGGAGAAAGCAAAAAUUCAGAAGAUUGUCAACUGGUACACUGAGAUAAGAAGAGUGUUACACCAAGCUGCUCAACUAUUCACAACUUGAUUUCGACACUGCUUACAAAGUGGGAGAUUGUUAGAGUCGAAGUAUGUUGUAAGGUGUCAAAGUUUGUUUUGUAUUCGAAAGUGAUUUAAUGUUAUUACAAAGGCAUAGUAAUUUCGAAGUUGUAAUGUUUUAUUCCUUGUAUUUUUUGUGUGCUUUCUCCUUUUCCUAUAAAUAGGAUAGGAUACAUAAGAUAGAUAGAACUUUUGCUAUUCUUCUAUUUGUAAUCUUUUGUAUCGUG
rnacentral:lncRNA from 1 species